GAGUUUGAUCUUGGCUCAGGAUGAACGCUGGCGGCGUGCCUAAUACAUGCAAGUCGAGCGAGCGGACGAGAAGCUUGCUUCUCUGAUGUUAGCGGCGGACGGGCGAGUAACACGUGGAUAACCUACCUAUAAGACUGGGAUAACUUCGGGAAACCGGAGCUAAUACCGGAUAAUAUUUUGAACCGCAUGGUUCAAAAGUGAAAGACGGUCUUGCUGUCACUUAUAGAUGGAUCCGCGCUUGCAUUUAGCUAGUUGGUAAGG
rnacentral:rRNA from 1 species